UACGAAGGGGGCUAGCGUUGUUCGGAAUCACUGGGCGUAAAGGGCGCGUAGGCGGCCGAUCAAGUCGGGGGUGAAAGCCUGUGGCUCAACCACAGAAUUGCCUUCGAUACUGUUUGGCUUGAGACCGGAAGAGGUUAGUGGAACUGCGAGUGUAGAGGUGAAAUUCGUAGAUAUUCGCAAGAACACCAGUGGCGAAGGCGGCUGACUGGUCCGGUUCUGACGCUGAGGCGCGAAAGCGUGGGGAGCAAGCAGG
rnacentral:rRNA from 1 species